rnacentral:rRNA from 1 species
GACGAACCGUGCGAACGUUGUUCGGAAUCACUGGGCGUAAAGGGCGCGUAGGCGGCCAUUUAAGUCGGGGGUGAAAGCCUGUGGCUCAACCACAGAAUUGCCUUCGAUACUGGAUGGCUUGAGACCGGAAGAGGUAAGUGGAACUGCGAGUGUAGAGGUGAAAUUCGUAGAUAUUCGCAAGAACACCAGUGGCGAAGGCGGCUCACUGGCCCGGUACUGACGCUGAGGUGCGAAAGCGUGGGGAGCAAACAGG